AGUAGAGAUGGGGUUUCACCAUGUUGGUCAGGCUGGUCUCAAACUCCUGACCUCAGGUGAUCCACCCACC
ensembl:miRNA